rnacentral:misc_RNA from 1 species
UAAUAAUAAUAAUAAUAAAAUUAUUUUACAUUCAUUAUUAUAAUUUAAAAUUUUUCAUGAUCCAAAAACAAUCAAUGAUCAGAUCCCUUCAGAUCUUCCUUCCUCAACAUUUCAAAACUUUACUUUCUCCUUUUUUAUUCUAGCCUUUGUCAUGCAUAUUAUUAGUGAUGGUGCUCCUAACUUCUCUUUGUCAUGAGAAUUUAUUUAUUUUUAUUUUUUUAGUGCAAAGAAAAUCUGAGGUUUUACAGUUAAAAAAAAUGCACAAUUUAAAAACAUCUUCUCAGUAAAAAAGAAAAAAGGGAAUAAAAAAAAUGCAUAUAUAUUAUGCUGCUGUCCAAAAUUACAUCUUCCAAUGAGUUGAGGACCAACAAGAAGGUUAUAUUAUAUACAAGUGGAAUAAAAAUUUGCUCCAGUCCACUCAUGUUUCACAAUGUGAUUUAAACUUUUAGCUUCUGAAAAAUUUAUUAACCAAUUAGUUUUAUUUUAAUCGUAUAAGAAUCAUAUUCAAGACUAUAAAAUUUCAAUUAAAAUUCUAAUUAGACGUAAUUAUACUAAAAAACAAGACUAAUUAAAGUUAAUCUAAUUAAUAUUAAUAAUAAAGAUGAGAGAUUUUAUAAUUUAUUAAUUAGGAUUCGACUGUAUUGAAAGCAUUCUAAUAUUAUUUAUACUGAAUAUAUUAAGUUGAAUUAGACUAUUACACAGUGCUUUAAAGAGAAAAUUUAAUUUUAAUAUACUAAAAUUAGUUCGAAAAGAAUAUGAUAAAAAAAUAGAAAUCUAAAUUAUUAUCUUCCCAAUUCCACCUAAUUAUGAACCCAAAUCAUCUUAAAGCAAUACAAAC